rnacentral:miRNA from 1 species
UAUAGCCGCACAGCUAUACUUGAAAAAUAUUCGGCUAUACUGUUAAAAUAAAUUCGAAUAUUUUUCAAGUAUAGCUGUGCGGCGAUACG